CAGCAUCGCAGCAGCUCAGCGGCACAGCCGGCAGAACUGUGCAGAAGCGAGCACCGUUUGGGGAGUCCGGGGGGCGGCAGUUACAUCCAGCUGUUUAUUGCCUAAGCAUUCUGGGGCUUGCUUCAUCACUUGGCUUUGCUGUGGAGCACUCCUGUAGAGCUUACUGAAUUGCAUAUUGAAGAUCCACCCAUUUGUUCUACUCGGAUAGUCAAGCCCAUCUGAACCCAAGUAUUGCCACGGUGACACUGUGCCCAGUGAUGGAAUUCUGAAUUAUACGAAAGGUUGGUGCUGCUCUGUCCAUCUAUUUCUGCAGAGGGAAGAUAGACAAGGGAAGGCUUUCUCUCUGCAAAUACUCAUGGUGUGACCCAUUUGAGAUACAAAAAGUCUCAAGAGGUUAUAAUUCAGAAAGCUGGAUGAAAUGUACAAGAUUGGGAGGGAGAAGGCCAGCGCAGACUGACGGCAUUCUCUUGAUGGGCAGGCGCCGUGUCUCAGGAA
ensembl:lncRNA